UGGAAGGGUGUGCUAGAGAUGGGAAAGAGA
rnacentral:piRNA from 1 species